AAAGAAAACAUGAGCAGUGAAAACAAAACAAAAAAAAAAACAAAGAAAAAGAAGUGAAAGACCUGGGGCCGCGUUGUUUCACACAAAAGAAAGACUCGUCUCUCUCUCUUCUCUCUCCAAACCCUAACCCUCACCUUCAGAAGCACCGACUCACUAUCCAAUCCAGAACCUGCCACUUUCCCAAACAUUACUCCCCAUCGUCAUCAUCAUCGUCGUCGUCGUCGUCGUCGUCGUCGUCGUUGUCGUCACGACCACCACCGUCGUUUCAGCAGCAGCAGCGGCAGCACCAGGCAUAAGUCGAAUCUAUUCUGCUCUCCCAAAUCUAAAUCUAGUGGAGGGUAGAGGAAGGGGAAGAAAAAGAAGAAGAAGAAGAAGAAGAAGAAGAAUCAGUAGCAAAGAGAAGGAGGUGUUGAGUGUUGUUUCAGUUUGGUUGGAAAAAUGCACACCCGGUAUCUCAACGGUCCUGGUUGACUUCCACCAACCACCAACAAGCGCUAGCAAAGAAGAGGAAGAGGAAGAAGAAGAAGAAGAAGAAGAAGAAGAAGAAAAUCCUCCUUUCCUUUUUCUUCUAUUGUGCUCUCUGGUUCAUGCAAUCCCCCAUUCCCCACAUUCUCGAAUCGGGUCCAGCUUCGGGGUCUCUUGUUAGUCACUUAAAAGACACACAAAGCACAACGACAAGGAGAAAGAGAACAAGGGAAGAAGAAGAAGAAGAAGAAGAAGAAGAAGAAGAAGAAGAAGAAGAAAAAGAAGAAAAAAGAGGAGGAACCGAAGAAUACGACCUUUGCUUGGCCUUCAUAGCUUCAUAUAUUCGGGUUAAGAUUCUUCUGUCUGUGAACCUCCCUCUCUCUUUCCCCCUCUCUCUGUCUCUCUCUGCGUGUUUUUUUAGUGCCGUGGAGAGAUGAGCGACAUCGAUUCGCUGUUGACGGCCCGGCGGUCACUCCGUCUCUGCAUCGACAAAUCGAAGGCGUUAUCGAGCGCUCUCGGCCGUGCCGGUCCCCGCCUGGAGGAGAUCAACCAGCGGCUACCGGCCCUCGAGGCAGCAGUGCGGCCGAUCCGGGCACAGAGGGACGCAUUACUGGCCGUUGGCGGGCACAUCGACCGGGCGGUAGGUCCGGCUGCUGCGGUGCUCAAGGUGUUCGAUGCUGUUCAUGGCCUCGAGCGCUCGCUUCUCUCCGACCCGCGUUCUGACCUCGCUGGUUACCUCUCGGUUGUCAAGCGGCUGGAGGAGGCGCUCAAGUUUCUUGCCGAGAACUGCGCCCUUGCGAUCCAGUGGCUCGGCGACAUCGUCGAGUAUCUGGAGGACAAUUCCGUUGCUGACGAGCGGUACCUCUCCAACCUGAAGAAGUCAUUGGAUUGCCUCCGAGAAUUGCAGGACUCUGAGGGAGAUGAGCGAGCUCGCGGCCUCGACGGGGGGCUGCUUGACGUCGCCCUGGAUAAGCUUGAGGGCGAAUUCCGGCGCCUGCUUGUCGACCAUGGCGCCCCUCCCCUCCAAAUGCAGCAGCCCGCCGAUGAGAACGAAACGCCCUGCAUCGCCCCCUCUCCACUCCCGGGCGUCGUUGUGCAGAAACUGCAGGCCGUGCUGGACAGGUUGAUCGCAAAUGGGAGACUCGAUCGGUGCAUCGCAAUCUACACAGAGGUGCGGAGCGCCAACGCCCGCGCGAGCCUCCGGGCUCUCAAUCUCGAUUACCUUGAGAUCUCGACAGAGGAGUUUAACGGGGUGCAGAGCAUAGAAGGGUACAUUGUGCAGUGGGGGAGGCACCUCGAGUUUGCCGUGAAGCACCUCUUCGAGUUGGAGUAUAGACUCUGCGGGGAGGUUCUUGAGAGGAUUGGCACGGACGCGUGGACGGAGUGCUUCGCCCAUAUCGCUGAGCAGGCAGGAAUGCUUGAUUUCCUUCGGUUCGGGAAGACUGUAACGGAGAGCAAGAAGGACCCAAUCAAGCUCGUCAAGAUGCUCGAUAUCUUCGCCUCCAUGAACAAGCUCAGGUUGGACUUCAAUCGGUUGUUUCGAUCGAAGGCAUGCAAUGAGAUACAGAGCCUCACCCGGGAUCUAGUGAAGCGGUUGGUAGAAGGGGUGUGUGACAUAUUCUGGGAAUUAAUAGUGCAGGUCGAGUUGCAGAGGCAGAUGCCGCCGCCUGCAGAUGGCGGUGUGCCAAAGCUCGUGAGCUUCAUUACUAGCUACUGCAACCAGCUGUUGGGUGACAAUUAUCGCCCACUUCUAAACCAGGUGCUCGACAUUCAGCGUAGUUGGCAGAAGGAGAAGUUUCAGGAGGGCCUUCUGAACGACGCCAUACUGAAUGUGAUCAGGGCUCUGGAAGGCAACUUAGAGAUAUGGUCCAAGACAUAUGAAGACACUGCCCUCGCUCAUCUUUUCAUGAUGAACUGCCAUUGGCAUUUCAACAAGCACCUUAAAGGAACCAAACUUGGAAAUCUCAUGGGCGAGUCGUGGCUACAAGAUCACGAACAUUUCAAGGAAUACUUUCUAACCCUAUACUUGAAGGAGACUUGGGGAAAGCUUCCUGCGCUGUUGAGUCGUGAGGGCCUUAUCUACUUCUAUGGUGGAAGAGCCACUGCCCGUGAUUUGGUGAAGAAGAGGCUGAAGGCAUUCAAUGAGGUAUUUGAUGAAUUGUACAGGAAACACAUGAAUUGGGUCGUCUCAGAGAAGGACCUUAGGGAGAGGGUGUGCCAAUCGGCUGUGCAGGCCAUUGUUCCAGUCUAUCGGAGUUAUAUGCAAAACUAUGGGCCACUAGUCGAGCAGGACGCAAGUUCUAGCAAGUACUCCAAGUAUUCACCACAAAGUUUGGAAAAGAUGGUCGGUUCGCUGUUUCAGCUGAAGCCAGCUAAGCAAGCUACCCCUAAAGCUAGGCAUUCUAACGGGAAGGUGAAUCCUGCGCUUGUGACCAAUCAAUUUUGCUCUGCACCAACGGCUGUUUGAUGUACAGUACUAGUCGUAGGAGCCGACUCUUUGAAUCUGAAGGGAAGGCUCUCAUGGAUCUCAUGCUGAUAGAGUUUCCAUUGUAAACAUUGAAGAAUUUGGAGGCUUCAUCUAAAGUUGAAUUAGUUAGUCUGUUAGACGAGUGGUAAGAUAGAAUGGCGUGCAUGUACAUAUCUUUCCUCGCAGCAUUACCAGAGUACCCUGAAUAAUUCUUGGAGAUUGGGUCGUCCUUCCGAGGAAUGGUGUUAAAGGAAAAGAACAUGUGGACGUCCAAAAAAGCUUCUAAAAACCCUUACGACGAGCCCCACAGAUUUGGAACGUGUUCCUGUUGCAUCUGAAGAAAAGGUUGCUUGAAAGUCCAGCCAAACACCUGAUCAUGUUGGGAUUCAAGAUCAUUGUGCAAUUUUGUUAUUCCAUCUCCAAUUUUAAUGAUGUGAAAUUGUUACAGCUAUUUGCACGUUAUUGAGGGAAAUGCAUCGGAAGGCAUGUUGGUGGUGUGUGAUUAAAUAUCAUUUACAGAAACGGUGGUUGCAGCCUCCCAAAAUGAUGCAAGUUGCAUUUGGGGAGACAGCUGUUGUCUUUUCCUAGAGAAGUUCAUUUUGGGAACCCCAAAAAAAAAAAAAAAAAUCAGUGCCCUGUUCUCUGGACCUUAGUUCCAAUACAAUUGGGUACUUUUAUUGUUUGAUAGGAACUUUUACAUUCUACUCCUUUGAGGACUAAGCAGGAAGCAGCACGUGUAGGCAUGAGAAAGUUGACACGUUUGCUGCAGCACAAUGAUGAACUGUAAUAAAUCCAAUAUUAACAGAGAUGUAUGGAUUAGUUUUCUAUUUGAUUCUUCUUGAUUAUGAACUACAUAAGCAGUGUCUCAUGCGGUCUCCAAGAGAUCAAGUGUUCACCAGCUGGAAUGAAAUUGUAUUGAAAUGGAGCAUUGAGAAUGUGUACUUUUGCCUUUUACAAGUGGCUCUCUGGACAAGCAUAUUGCAUUUUGCGAGGUGUGAAUUACAUGAUGGUAUGAGAGAUGCUCAAGCGAAUGAUUUACUACAGUUACUGAUGGCUGAACCUUAUUACAAAUUUUAGUUUUUGGUUAGCACAAGCAUUAGAUAUUGCUGUUAGCUUGAUAGAGUGUGCAUGAAGACAGCUACUUUAUUUUUCCUUUCCCCUUCUU